rnacentral:rRNA from 1 species
CCUACGGGCGGCAGCAGUGAGGAAUAUUGGUCAAUGGGAGAGAUCCUGAACCAGCCAAGCCGCGUGAGGGAAGACGGCCCUAUGGGUUGUAAACCUCUUUUGUCGGAGAACAAAACCCGGGACGUGUCCCGGACUGCGUGUAUCCGAAGAAACAGCAUCGGCUAACUCCGUGCCAGCCGCCGCGGUAAUACGGAGGAUUCGAGCGUUAUCCGGAUUUAGUGGGUUUAAGGGGUGCGUAGGCGGUCCGUUAAGUCAGCGGUAAAAUUGCGGGGCUCAACCCCGUCGAGCCGUUGACACUGGCAGACUUGAGUUGGCGAGAAGUACGCGGAAUGCGCGGUGUAGCGGUGAAAGGCAUAGAUAUCGCGCAGAACUCCGAUUGCGAAGGCAGCGUACCGGCGCCAGACUGACGCUGAGGCACGAAAGCGUGGGGAUCGAACAGGAUUAGAUACCCCGGUAGUC